rnacentral:rRNA from 1 species
UAAUACGUAGGUGUCAAGCGUUGUCCGGAUUUAUUGGGCGUAAAGAGCCCGCAGGCGGCUUGCCAAGUUCGAGGUGAAAUCUCCCGGCUCAACCGGGAGGGUGCCUCGAAAACUGGCAGGCUUGAGGCAGGGAGAGGGAUGUGGAAUUCCCGGUGUAGUGGUGAAAUGCGUAGAUAUCGGGAGGAACACCAGUGGCGAAGGCGGCAUCCUGGCCCUGUCCUGACGCUCAGGGGCGAAAGCGUGGGGAGCAAACCGGAUUAGAUACCCGGGUAGUCCACGCCGUAAACGAUGAGUACUAGGUGUAGGGGGUAUCGACCCCCUCUGUGCCGAAGCUAACGCGAUAAGUACUCCGCCUGGGGACUACGGCCGCAAGGCUAAAACUUAAAUGAAUUGACGG